rnacentral:rRNA from 1 species
GACGAACGCUGGCGGCGUGCUUAACACAUGCAAGUCGAACGGAAAGGCCCUGCUUUUGUGGGGUGCUCGAGUGGCGAACGGGUGAGUAACACGUGAGUAACCUGCCCUUGACUUUGGGAUAACUUCAGGAAACUGGGGCUAAUACCGGAUAGGAGCUCCUGCUGCAUGGUGGGGGUUGGAAAGUUUCGGCGGUUGGGGAUGGACUCGCGGCUUAUCAGCUUGUUGGUGGGGUAGUGGCUUACCAAGGCUUUGACGGGUAGCCGUCCUGAGAGGGUGACCGGCCACAUUGGGACUGAGGUACGGCCCAGACUCCUACGGGAGGCAGCAGUGGGAAAUAUUGCACAGUGGGCGGAAGCCUGAUGCAGAAACGCCGCGUGCGGGAUGACGGCCUUCGGGUUGUAAACCGCUUUCGCCUGUGACGAAGCGUGAGUGACGGUAAUGGGUAAAGAAGCACCGGCUAACUACGUG